rnacentral:rRNA from 1 species
GAUGAACGCUGGCGGCGUGCCUAAUACAUGCAAGUCGAGCGAAUGGAUUAAGAGCUUGCUCUUAUGAAGUUAGCGGCGGACGGGUGAGUAACACGUGGGUAACCUGCCCAUAAGACUGGGAUAACUCCGGGAAACCGGGGCUAAUACCGGAUCACAUUUUGAACCGCAUGGUUCGAAAUUGAAAGGCGGCUUCGGCUGUCACUUAUGGAUGGACCCGCGUCGCAUUAGCUAGUUGGUGAGGUAACGGCUCACCAAGGCAACGAUGCGUAGCCGACCUGAGAGGGUGAUCGGCCACACUGGGACUGAGACACGGCCCAGACUCCUACGGGAGGCAGCAGUAGGGAAUCUUCCGCAAUGGACGAAAGUCUGACGGAGCAACGCCGCGUGAGUGAUGAAGGCUUUCGGGUCGUAAAACUCUGUUGUUGGGGAAGAACAAGUGCUAGUUGAAUAAGCUGGCACCUUGACGGUACCUAACCAGAAAGCCACGGCUAACUACGUGCCAGCAGCCGCGGUAA